UAGUGUCCCCUCGAAGAACAGAGUGCCACCUUUAGACGCGUGCAGGGCACGACGUAUUGCUCGAGACACCAGCACUGCAGACAAGAAACACAGGUGACGUUACCUGUGUUGUAUCGUGUGUGUGCGUGUAGUUGCAUCCACUACCAACGUCCACUGACUCUCUGCCGGCUCUGCUGCCCUUCCCCCACGCUGCCCCUGUUGCCGUUUCUUUCUCCAAAGGCGGCCGGAAGCGAGCGAAGCCGAGAGAGUCGUGGUGGUCGUCGUGUCGUGUACCAAAGGCUCUGCUUCCCUCCCACCAUCCAUCUUCUAGAUCCUUCCUGCCCUUGCCGGCCCCUUCAGCGCUUUCUUCGUUGAGUUCUCGUGUGCUUGACUGCGCAGCUCGGUUUCUUUCCUUCGUGGCCGUAGAUCGCAGUUACCGACGUCUCCCCCUUGGCUCGUCGCGUGCGGCGCGUUGUCUUGUUCGAGGAGGGAAGCGUUCUCUCCGCAUGUCUCCUGCUUCACCUCUGGCGCCGUGUACGUCUUCUCCACUUCGCUUCGUUCUCUGCUACGUGGUGCGUUGCACGUUUUACUCGUGAGCGCUCUGCCACCUGCGCACCGACGUACACAAGCGUGCGUGUGCUCAAGGAUCCGCGGCUUGCUCUGCGGCGCUCCGUCUGCCCCUCUCCCCCCUCGAAACAGCAAGAAGGCGUUGCACCCCUUCUAGCAAUGCUGUCCAUGUUCAAGAACAAAAAGGGCUUCUCGGUGCUCUUCCAUGGUGAGGUGGAGGCGAGACUGUCCGACCGGGUGACGGAGUCGUCGGUACUUCCCCGCCCCUCCGCCCAACUCUGUGACACAGCAGCUCGUUCGAAGGGGAGCGGAGUCGCGCAGUAUCAGUGCCAGCGGUGCUUAAAGCGCUUCUCUGCGCUGGAAUCUGACGACGAAACGGAGGCGGCAUACCAGUGCCACCGCUGCCAGUAUCCUACAUGUCCACAGUGUCGAGAGCUGGCGGCGGGCAGCCCGCCGUGGGUGUGCUGUGUCUGCAGCGGCUUCAAGUCGAUGAUGUGGCUCUUGGAGAGGACGCGAGCGGGGCCCAUGCUGGUGACAAGGAUUGUGGAAUACUGCGACCCACGCGGGCAGCGGCUGAUGCGGUCGAUGUUCCGAUUUACGUUGCAGCAGUACCAGUCGCCGACGCCGCGUCCUUCGAUCACGCUCAUGGGACGUGCGAGUGACGGUCGCGCUGGCAGCGGCCCGCCAUCCAGCUCGCGGCCGGCUUCUCAGACGCCGCCCGCCUGCCCAACCUCUCGAACGGGGACGAGCUCGCGCCUGUCUGGCGAACGCAGCAGUGCCCGCCUGAGUCAGGUGCCCGCGAGCUUCGGCAACGUACGCCGACCGUCGCCGUGCACGCACCCCAAGCGCGCAUCACUGUUGCGCUCUGUUCGUCGGUCACACUCGGAUGCCGCACUCGCCUUCGAUGCCGGCGCCGGGGCUGGAACAGAAGACGCGGCGAAGGAAAACUCUCCUGCGGCCGAGCGCGGCGUCCGCGGCUCGGAAGCGCUGCGCCGCAUCGAGGAGGCCGUCGGUGUCGUGGAGUACUCGCCCGAGUCGAAGUGGCGGACACCAGGCGACGCGGGCACAGAGGUGGAGAACAGGGACGAGCCCUUGUCGUUGCUCCCUGAUGACGGUGCGCGCUUCUCUUUGCUGGAAGAUCGCUGCACCGCUGUAGCUGACAUCUACAGCGCUGGAGCACCCAAUGUGUCGUCAGGCGGCUCGACUUUACGGGUGGUUGUAGUGGAGUCGGAGGCGCCGUCGCCGCACGCGCGUCCGAGCGGCCAUGCCGCAUUUCAGCGCGAAGCGCUGCAGCCGCAGCUGGCGAGCACCAACGGCGCCACAACCCCGACGGAGGGUGAAGGUGUCGUUCUGCCGGCCACCGCCGCUCUUGCACCUGAGGCGUCGUGGAGAAGGCUGACUCCUCCCCAGGAGCUCUGCCGCCUGUGCCACAGCGUGAGCCCCAACUCUAGCGGCUCAGGCCGCAGUGCUAGUCCGGCACCGCGCUUUCCUACCUUCGGGCAGUUCUUGGACGAGCAUGUCGGCAUCGGUGCCGGUGACACACACCUGCCACGCGAAUCGAACGUGUUGGUGACGGUAUCGCCCGAAACAGAGAACAGCGACGAGGAUAGCGGUGGCGUGAUCGAGCUGGGCGGCGGGCGCUGCGACGACCGCCUCGCAACCACCCACGGCAAAGUCAACGAAGGGCUGCACACUCCACGUGGCGUGCAGCCACAAACUCCUCUGUCGACUGGCGGCGGCUCAUCGGGCUUUCGUGGCGGACGCCGCACGAGUGGGCUGAGCGAGUUCACCCCUACUCGAGUGCUGGACAUGUCGAGCGCGCGCGUCACGCUCCACCACCGCAGUUCCAGUCGCCGUCGUACCACGCGAGGAAGCCUGCAAGAGAUCCACGCUCCCCAUCUCUACGGUAACAGAAGCGCUAAGACCAGCGCGGCAGGAAACGCACGGCGCAGCGGACAGAUGCGCGACUCUCGAUGUAUGUACGACCUGCCGACUCAGUUCGGCCCUCACGGGAAGCCAGCGAGCCCGGUGAGCGGGCAGCUGCGGCGCCAGAAUGCGCCGCUGGCCACGCGUACUGCAGGCCGUGCUCUCGGCAGCGAUGGACGCCAGCGGCUGGUGCGGCAGCACUCUCGCACCGUAGCGCCGCUGCAGCGCACCGCCUCGCGCAACAACGAGCUUCAGCGGAUGCCCUCACGCAACGGGGCGCUGGCUCGAACGAACUCCUCCGUCGCGCAUCUGACGCGCACCGCUUCCUCGCACGGCUGCGACCCCUCCUUUGCGCGGGUGAACAGCUGCACGGCGCACGCCCUGGCCAGCACACCCGCCGAACGUGUUCUUCUCACCGGAGGCGUCGGUGGCCGCGGACGGCUGCAGCGCACCGAUUCGGCAAAACUUACGGGCACUGGCGCGGGCUAUGGCGCGGCGGCGCGUACCGCACCGCAACGCACUGCCGUGUUGGAGCGUGCGCACUUCGGCUACGGGACACCUGCUGCCACCAGCGCUUCGUCCUUGUACUCCUCUCCUCUCAAGCGAACUCUCUCGUCCUUGUCACCGCUGAAGCGAACCGCCUCGCAUUUGUGCCUUCGAAAUGACGGUUCGGCGCCGUUUGGCCGCAGACCGUACGUAGCGCGUCUUACGCGUUCCGCGACGACCAACAUUGGCUUUGUCCGUACUAGCUCUGCCACAGCGGCCCGAGGCGGGGCGCCGUCUCGCCACGGCCCUGGCACUUUCACGCGUACUGCCACCGGCACGAACCUAUUCCAGUGCUCGCGCGGCCGCAUUUAUGAAGGACCUCGUUGCCGACCAGUGCCGACUCCACUGCCGUCAUCUGCUGUCGUGUGCGGCAGUGGACGUAGCGCACCGAGCAUCUACUACCGCGCUAUGGACACCUCUCCAUUGCGGCGCGUCCCUACUGCCGCGCGCACGGCGACGCCAACGAUGGGCCGCAGACGCUUCCCGACGUCAACGGCGCUCUCUCGGACCGCCGCGGGGACGCGUAACUUCGAGCGUCAGCAAAGCAACGUGCUGCGCGAGCCCGCAAAUCGCUCUCUCGGGGUUGUGCGGCGGACAGUCGACCCGGCGCCAACGCUAGUCGGCGCGACGCGACGCAAGGCUGUGGGAAGCUGGCUGCACCGCACUCCAUCGGCUACUGGCGCUGCCAACGCCGUCGCUGCAACGCCACGCACCCCCCGUCGGUACAUCAUCGCGAGUGUCUCGACGGCUGCGACGCCAGCCGCAGUGAACGGUGGCGGGUCGCACAGCGUAUCGCGGCCGGUGCUUUCAUCGGUCGCCAGCAGCCCAAAGGCGCGCAGCAGCCACGGCUCCAAUGCCAGCGGCGGCACGGCUGGCUAUAGCAGCUAUACGGGCAGCGCCCAUGCAGCUGCGGAGAAAGCGGGUGCUGUCGAGACUGGGAUGGGGCGGGCAAGCGGGCAACAAUGUCGUCCGCUCGUCGGAGCCACCACGGUGAAGGGAAACACGCCCUCGCACGUGGCAACGCUGAACCGCCGUGCGACGGCUGUCUCUGCCUCUGCCGUUGCCACUGCACACCGCAGGACUGGGAGAGCAGCGCAAGCGAGUCCCUUCGCGGGACAGAACAGUCGGCUUGCUUUCUGAUUGACACGCGGGCAGGCGUCUGUACGCGUGCGGUUUCCUUCCUUGGUGCCUACUCUCUCUCUCUUACGGACUCUCUCGUGGACCCUCGCUGCCUCGCUGAGCCCAUGCUUCUAACACCAUGUUCUCUCUCAUGCCUGUGUGGGUGUGCGAGAAAGUGAAGAUGUGCAUGCGUGUGUGUGUUUGCCCUAUUCUGGUGUCUCUCUCUUCGACUUGCAUAAAUACUGCAGCACGGUGACUUUCAGAAGUGCGUCGUUUGUCCAAGAAGAGCAGCGGUCCUCUGUCGCGUGUGUGUCUCUCUCUCUCCCCUUCUCGAGAACUUCAUGUUGCAUGUUUGUCCUUGGCCGCCACGGGUGUAGAAGUCUGCUUGUAUUGAUGUGCAUGCGCACUUGCGUCGUGGUGCUUAUGCACCGGUUGGUGCUGGAUGUCACCACCCCACUUGUUUCUGUUCGAGCUCUUCCUCCGUUACCUUUUUGUGGUUUCGUUGAAUGCCCUUGCGCUUUAGAUAUGCCUUCCACGUGGAAGAAGGCUAGUGGUGCGGCGGACGAAGAGGCACGAGGGGCCAUCUUACGACAGCGCGGCGAGAGGGUCUCUAGAUGGAAUAGCCCUGCGCCCGUCACCUGUCUUUUUUCGUUUCUGUCCUCUACCCUCAGCACUUCCGCCGCGUCCUACGCCUGCCCUAUGUAUUUGUGUCGCUUCCGCUUUUCUUUUAUGGCGGUGACAUCUGCACCCCGCCUCCCUCCACCCCCUCCCUCUCGCGAGCUCGCCGCUCGUCCGCUCACCGAGGUCACUGCAUAGUUGGGCGGCAGAGAUGGCGAUGAGACUCAUCGUCUCUCAUCGCGCUCUCUCUUUACGCCGGCCUUGGCGCAGCCCCGCUAGUGAACGGAACCCUCACCUCUUCUCCUCAUUGUGCCGUUGUUGGACGCUGCGAAGCCGCAGAGAGAAGGAGCGCUGGGAACGGCAGAGAGAGGCAGGAGCGGAGACGGGAAACCCUACCGCUUAUAGAGACUACGCGCGCACGCACAUGCUUGUGUAUGAACUUGCGCGUGCGUGUAUACAAGCCGGGACGUUGCCCAGCACAGCCUGCCCGCUAACGAGAGCGAACGUGGCUAUGCAUGCGCGUCGCUAUGUCAAGCGUAUGUCUGUGGCUGCGCGUGUCGCUCCCUGGACGGUGCUGUGGCUUGCGUGUUUGUUUUAGUCUUUCUUAUUUUGCUGAUAAGCGCCUUCUGUCUUGUUUCACUGUACGAUUUCUGCUUGCGCUCUGCAUCCAGUGUCCUACGCGAAGCCAAGUGGAAGCGUGGGAUCUCUCUGAGGAGAGAGCAGAGUCUUUCACCCUCCCCCUCCCGCCACCACCACCUAUCGAAGAUGGAUGGAUAAUGAGUCGCACAUUCGUCUUUCCUGGUCCCCACACCCGUUUUACGUACAUCUCCGAGCAUGACUAGGCAGCUGCAGCCGCGCUCGUUCUACCCCGGCCGCACAAGAGCUGAUAAGCACAAGAUGCGUCUGCACCAAUGUUCCGCCCUGUUCCUCGCCAUCUUCUUUGCAUCUCUCUUUAUUUCGCGUGCCGUGCCACACGGAGCUGCACAGUACGUUGGGGCAUUAAGGUGGGGGGGUGGAGAGGGAGGCACUGCGUACAUAUCUGUGUGUGUGUGUGCAUCUCCGUCGUUUCUUCGUUUCCAUGUAGCAGUGUUUAGGAGCAUGCUCUUAUCGCAUGUCAGCUACUCCUCACGUACUUUCCGCUACCUGCCUGUCUCUCCUUCUCUGUUGAUUCGUAGCUCUUCCCCCUUACCUUUGUGGCCGUCCCGUGCCUGUGCAGCCGUAAUGUGCCACCCCUCCCCUUCUGCACGGCCCGCUCACCUUUUCGCCUUUUGCAUGUGGCCGACCGUUUCCAUGGCCACCCUUCAUCUCCGCCAUCCAUGCGCUGGCACACACGCACGUAUACGUAUAGACAUGUGUAGUUGUUCUGAUGAAAGACGGAUCUCGGGCAACGCAUGCUGGCCACCCACCCGCUCCGCUCGCUCACUUGCCUUCUUACCACGCCGGUCUCGGUGCCCACUCGACCGGCUCUCAUACCGUGUGCUGCGUGUGCGUGUGUGUGCCCGUUCUCAUCCAUCGUUGCACGUCCUCCUCCUCCCUCGGCACAUAGCGGUGCGACGAGAUCGCAGUGUGUGUAGGGGGGAGGGGGUGCACGGCCGUGCCGCCUUCUCGUCCGGUGCAAGCGAGAUGUUCAUGCUGCCGGCCAGUGUUGUUUCUAGUAGCCCUGCAUUAUAAAAAGCGCCCCACCCCCACCCUACACACACGCAGCGACGUCAUGGACGGCCCCCUUCUCGCCCUCUGCCUCUCGUUAUUUUUACUGUCCGUGCCCUCAGAGUAGGUCCCGCGCCGAUUUGGCGCCCUUCAUGUGUGCACCCGGCGAGCGAGGAGGCGGGAAGGACCGGAAGGACGGGUGGCCCCGCACUCUCGUGAGUGCGCACAGGCACAGGCAUAUACGGGGAUCUGUGCUCUCGCAUAGAACCGACACGCUCUAUUCCCGCCAGCGUGCGCCCCCUCUUCGCGCACGCGGCACGACCAUAAACGCCCACCGGCCAGUUGUCGGAUCGACCGCUUCAACUUUCCUGGCUCGCUUCAUGGCCCCCACAUCACUCUCCCAUCUCUCCUCCUCCUCCCAUCUCUUCUCCCAUCUCUCCUCCCCUCACGCUGGCGAAG
rnacentral:misc_RNA from 1 species